UAGAGUUUGAUCCUGGGCUCAGGACGAACGCUGGCGGCGUGCCUAAUACAUGCAAGUCGAACGCUUUUUCUUUCACCGGAGCUUGCUCCACCGAAAGAAAAAGAGUGGCGAACGGGUGAGUAACACGUGGGUAACCUGCCCAUCAGAAGGGGAUAACACUUGGAAACAGGUGCUAAUACCGUAUAACACUAUUUUCCGCAUGGAAGAAAGUUGAAAGGCGCUUUUGCGUCACUGAUGGAUGGACCCGCGGUGCAUUAGCUAGUUGGUGAGGUAACGGCUCACCAAGGCAACGAUGCAUAGCCGACCUGAGAGGGUGAUCGGCCACACUGGGACUGAGACACGGCCCAGACUCCUACGGGAGGCAGCAGUAGGGAAUCUUCGGCAAUGGACGAAAGUCUGACCGAGCAACGCCGCGUGAGUGAAGAAGGUUUUCGGAUCGUAAAACUCUGUUGUUAGAGAAGAACAAGGAUGAGAGUAAAAUGUUCAUCCCUUGACGGUAUCUAACCAGAAAGCCACGGCUAACUACGUGCCAGCAGCCGCGGUAAUACGUAGGUGGCAAGCGUUGUCCGGAUUUAUUGGGCGUAAAGCGAGCGCAGGCGGUUUCUUAAGUCUGAUGUGAAAGCCCCCGGCUCAACCGGGGAGGGUCAUUGGAAACUGGGAGACUUGAGUGCAGAAGAGGAGAGUGGAAUUCCAUGUGUAGCGGUGAAAUGCGUAGAUAUAUGGAGGAACACCAGUGGCGAAGGCGGCUCUCUGGUCUGUAACUGACGCUGAGGCUCGAAAGCGUGGGGAGCGAACAGGAUAAUUNCCCUGGUAGUCCAA
rnacentral:rRNA from 1 species